rnacentral:rRNA from 1 species
GUCCAGACUCCUACGGGAGGCAGCAGUGGGGAAUAUUGCACAAUGGGGGAAACCCUGAUGCAGCGACGCCGCGUGAGUGAAGAAGUACUUCGUUAUGUAAAGCUCUAUCAGCAGGGAAGAAAAUGACGGUACCUGACUAAGAAGCCCCGGCUAACUACGUGCCAGCAGCCGCGGUAAUACGUAGGGGGCAAGCGUUAUCCGGAUUUACUGGGUGUAAAGGGAGCGCAGGCGGCACGGCAAGCCUGAUGUGAAAGCCCGGGGCCCAACCCCGGGACUGCUCUUGGAACUGCGUGGCUAGAGUGCAGGAGGGGCAGGCGGAAUUCCUGGUGUAGCGGUGAAAUGCGUAGAUAUCAGGAGGAACACCGGUGGCGAAGGCGGCCUGCUGGACUGCAACUGACGUUGAGGCCCGAAAGCGUGGGGAGCAAACAGGAUUAGAUACCCCAGUACA